rnacentral:rRNA from 1 species
ACGGAGCAACGCCGCGUGAGCGAAGAAGGCCUUCGGGUCGUAAAGCUCUGUUGUUAGGGAAGAACAAGUAUCGGAGUAACUGCCGGUACCUUGACGGUACCUAACCAGAAAGCCACGGCUAACUACGUGCCAGCAGCCGCGGUAAUACGUAGGUGGCAAGCGUUGUCCGGAAUUAUUGGGCGUAAAGCGCGCGCAGGCGGUCCUUUAAGUCUGAUGUGAAAGCCCACGGCUCAACCGUGGAGGGUCAUUGGAAACUGGGGGACUUGAGUGCAGAAGAGGAGAGUGGAAUUCCACGUGUAGCGGUGAAAUGCGUAGAGAUGUGGAGGAACACCAGUGGCGAAGGCGACUCUCUGGUCUGUAACUGACGCUGAGGCGCGAAAGCGUGGGGAGCAAACAGGAUUAGAUACCCUGGUAGUCCACGCCCUAAACGAUGAUGACUAGUUGUUGGGGGAGUUAAAUCCCUUAGUAACGCAGCUAACGCGCGAAGUCAUCCGCCUGGGGAGUACGGUCGCAAGAUUA